UACGUAGGGUCCGAGCGUUGUCCGGAAUUAUUGGGCGUAAAGAGCUCGUAGGCGGUUUGUCGCGUCUGCUGUGAAAUCCCGAGGCUCAACCUCGGGUCUGCAGUGGGUACGGGCAGACUGGAGUGCGGUAGGGGAGAAUGGAAUUCCUGGUGUAGCGGUGGAAUGCGCAGAUAUCAGGAGGAACACCGAUGGCGAAGGCAGUUCUCUGGGCCGUAACUGACGCUGAGGAGCGAAAGCGUGGGGAGCGAAUAGG
rnacentral:rRNA from 1 species